rnacentral:rRNA from 1 species
AGUGAACGCUGGCGGUAGGCCUAACACAUGCAAGUCGAACGGCAGCACAGUAAGAGCUUGCUCUUACGGGUGGCGAGUGGCGGACGGGUGAGGAAUACAUCGGAAUCUACUUUUUCGUGGGUGAUAACGUAGGGAAACUUACGCUAAUUCCUCAUACGACCUACGGGUCAACGCAGGGGAUCUUCGCACCUUGCGCUUUUCAAUGAGCCGAUGUCUGAUUAGCUAGUUGGCGGGGUAAUGCCCCACCAAGUCUACGAUCCGUAGCUGUUCUGAGAGGAUGAACAGCCACACUGGAACUGAGACACGGUCCAGACUCCUACGGGAGGCAGCAGUGGGGAAUAUUGGACAAUGGGCGAAAGACUGAUCCAGCCAUACCGCGUGGGUGAAGAAGGCCUUCGGGUUGUAAAGCCCUUUUGUUGGGAAAGAAAAGAAGCAGGUUAAUAACCCGAUGAUCUGACGGUACCCAAAGAAUAAGCACCGGCUAACUUCGUG